GACGAACGCUGGCGGCGUGCUUAACACAUGCAAGUCGAACGGAAAGGCCCCGCUUUUGUGGGGUGCUCGAGUGGCGAACGGGUGAGUAACACGUGAGUAACCUGCCCUUGACCUUGGGAUAACUUCAGGAAACUUGGGCUAAUACCGGAUAGGAGCUCCUGCUGCAUGGUGGGGGUUGGAAAGGUUCGGCGGUUGGGGAUGGACUCGCGGCUUAUCAGCUUGUUGGUGGGGUAGUGGCUUACCAAGGCUUUGACGGGUAGCCGGCCUGAGAGGGUGACCGGCCACAUUGGGACUGAGAUACGGCCCAGACUCCUACGGGAGGCAGCAGUGGGGAAUAUUGCACAAUGGGCGGAAGCCUGAUGCAGCAACGCCGCGUGCGGGAUGACGGCCUUCGGGUUGUAAACCGCUUUCGCCUGUGACGAAGCGUGAGUGACGGUAAUGGGUAAAGAAGCACCGGCUAACUACGUG
rnacentral:rRNA from 1 species